rnacentral:rRNA from 1 species
GACGAACGCUGGCGGCGUGCUUAACACAUGCAAGUCGAACGGACAGACAGAGAGCUUGCCCUCUUGAAGUUAGUGGCGAACGGGUGAGUAACGCGUAAUCAACCUGCCCUUCAGAGGGGGAUAACAACGGGAAACCGUUGCUAAUACCGCGUACGAUUCAUGAACGGCAUCGUUUAUGAAUGAAAGGUGGCCUCUAUGUAUAAGCUAUCGCUGAAGGAGGGGAUUGCGUCUGAUUAGCUAGUUGGAGGGGUAACGGCCCGCCAAGGCAAUGAUCAGUAGGCGGUCUGAGAGGAUGAACGGCCACAUUGGGACUGGGACACGGACCAAACUCCUACGGGAGGCAGCAGUGGGGAAUCUUCCGCAAUGGACGAAAGUCUGACGGAGCAACGCCGCGUGAGUGAUGAAGGUCUUCGGAUUGUAAAGCUCUGUUAAUCGGGACGAAAGAGUUCUGCGUGAAUAAUGCAGAAAAGUGACGGUACCGGAAUAGAAAGCCACGGCUAACUACGUGCCAGCCGCCGCCGUAA